GACGAACGCUGGCGGCGUGCUUAACACAUGCAAGUCGAACGGGAUCCAAUGGUGCUUGCACUGUUGGUGAGAGUGGCGAACGGGUGAGUAACACGUGAGUAACCUGCCCUCUUCUUUGGGAUAACUGCCUGAAAGGGUGGCUAAUACCGGAUGUUCUGCUCCUGCCGCAUGGUGGGGGUUGGAAAGGUUUUUUCUGGUGGGGGAUGGGCUCGCGGCCUAUCAGCUUGUUGGUGGGGUGAUGGCCUACCAAGGCGGUGACGGGUAGCCGGCCUGAGAGGGUGACCGGCCACACUGGGACUGAGAUACGGCCCAGACUCCUACGGGAGGCAGCAGUGGGGAAUAUUGCACAAUGGGGGGAACCCUGAUGCAGCGACGCCGCGUGGGGGAUGACGGCCUUCGGGUUGUAAACCUCUUUCGGUGGGGAAGAAUUUGACGGUACCUGCUAAAGAAGCGCCGGCUAACUACGUGCCAGCAGCCGCGGUAAUACGUAGGGCGCGAGCGUUGUCCGGAAUUAUUGGGCGUAAAGAGCUCGUAGGUGGCGUGUCGCGUCUGUCGUGAAAACCUGCAGCUUAACUGUGGGCUUGCGGUGGGUACGGGCAUGCUUGAGUGCAGUAGGGGAGACUGGAAUUCUUGGUGUAGCGGUGGAAUGCGCAGAUAUCAGGAGGAACACCGGUGGCGAAGGCGGGUCUCUGGGUUGUUACUGACGCUGAGGAGCGAAAGCAUGGGUAGCGAACAGGAUUAGAUACCCUGGUAGUCCAUGCCGUAAACGUUGGGCACUAGGUGUGGGGGCCAGUUCCAUGGUUUCUGUGCCGUAGCUAACGCAUUAAGUGCC
rnacentral:rRNA from 1 species